rnacentral:rRNA from 1 species
UACAGAGGUGGCAAGCGUUGUUCGGAAUUACUGGGCGUAAAGGGCGCGUAGGCGGUUCGGUAAGUCCUGUGUGAAAUCCCUCGGCUCAACUGAGGAACUGCACGGGAGACUGCCGGGCUUGAGUUCGGGAGAGGGAAGCGGAAUUCCGGGUGUAGCGGUGAAAUGCGUAGAUAUCCGGAGGAACACCGGUGGCGAAGGCGGCUUCCUGGACCGACACCGACGCUGAGGCGCGAAAGCUAGGGGAGCAAACGGG